UACGGCCGUAUCACGUUGAAACAUUGGUUCCCGUACGAUCACCGAUCUUAAGCAUCGACAAGCCUGGUCAGUACCUAGAUGGGUGACCGUUUAAAAAUACCGGUUGCUGCAA